rnacentral:rRNA from 1 species
AUUGAACGCUGGCGGAAUGCUUUACACAUGCAAGUCGAGCGGCAGCGCGGGGCAACCUGGCGGCGAGCGGCGAACGGGUGAGUAAUGCAUCGGAACAUGUCCAUGUCGUGGGGGAUAGCCCGGCGAAAGCCGGAUUAAUACCGCAUAUGCCCGAGAGGGGAAAGCCGGGGACCGCAAGGCCUGGCGCGAUUGGGUUGGCCGAUGUCCGAUUAGCUAGUUGGCGGGGAANAGCCCACCAAGGCGAUGAUCGGUAGCUGGUCUGAGAGGAUGAUCAGCCACACUGGGACUGAGACACGGCCCAGACUCCUACGGGAGGCAGCAGUGGGAAUUUUGGACAAUGGGGGAAACCCUGAUCCAGCCAUUCCGCGUGAGUGAAGAAGGCCU